AUUGAACGCUGGCGGCAGGCCUAACACAUGCAAGUCGAGCGGAUGAAGGGAGCUUGCUCCAGGAUUCAGCGGCGGACGGGUGAGUAAUGCCUAGGAAUCUGCCUGGUAGUGGGGGAUAACGUCCGGAAACGGGCGCUAAUACCGCAUACGUCCUGAGGGAGAAAGUGGGGGAUCUUCGGACCUCACGCUAUCAGAUGAGCCUAGGUCGGAUUAGCUAGUUGGUGGGGUAAAGGCCUACCAAGGCGACGAUCCGUAACUGGUCUGAGAGGAUGAUCAGUCACACUGGAACUGAGACGCGGUCCAGACUCCUACGGGAGGCAGCAGUGGGGAAUAUUGGACAAUGGGCGAAAGCCUGAUCCAGCCAUGCCGCGUGUGUGAAGAAGGUCUUCGGAUUGUAAAGCACUUUAAGUUGGGAGGAAGGGCAGUAAGUUAAUACCUUGCUGUUUUGACGUUACCAACAGAAUAAGCACCGGCUAACUUCGUG
rnacentral:rRNA from 1 species